UUACUCAGACACAUUUGUUUGUCACUCUCUACUCCGGCGACCCACUCGUCUCCGACCACCAUAUCAGCUACGGAGAUCUUCUCAUUGGCGUCAGUGAGCUCUUUGUUCUUCCCUCGUGUUCGUGAAUCCCUCACUGAAUCUCUCUCGUCGUGAACUGUUCGUGAAUCUCAUUGAAACCCUAACUAACCAAUCUCUCUCCUGUUCGUGAACUUUUCUUCGUUUUCGCGAUUGAACGAAGUUUCGCGUCUGUUCUGUUUGCGAUUGAACGAAGUUUUGUGCUGAUUUUUGAGAAAUAUGUUAAGGAUUGGAUUGCAAUUGCUGCACCAUUCCAGGGUAAAUAUGCAUAUUGCAGAAAUGGUGAUACAAUCUUGUUACAUAUGCAUAUGGUGAUACAAGCUUGUUUCAUAUUCAUAUUGCAGAAAUUGAUUAGGUACAUAUGCAUUUUAUUUAUUAGACAAGUUUGUUUUGAAGCAUUUUGGUUAUAUUAUACCAAUGGAAAGAGAUCUAUUAGAUUUGUUCUCCAUAAAAAAUUGGAAGUUUUCUUGGUCUCUUGUCGCAACAAUUGCUUCGUCUUUGGCAUAGCUUCAGAUUGCUGCAUUUCAGGUAAUGCAUCAGCAAAAUUGAUAAGCAAACAUUCCUGAUAGAACCUGCAAAAUUCAUUAAGUGCUAGUCUAAUAUGUUGGAAUUCUUAGUCAUUGAAAAAAAGUAUCACUCGCUGAUUAAGUGCUAGUCUAAUUAAUUUAGUUUUUACUUUAUUCUUUUGGUUUUUGUUUUUCAGACCUUGAUGCAAUCAUUUAUGUUCUGGUACUUUAGAAACUUGACUCAUUUAUUUUGUGUAUCAUGAUUUAAUGCUUUCAUUUGAUUUUUGCAGUGAAUUUGGAUACUGUUUCUAACAAUGGUUAGCACUUUCAUGGUUGCACUGAUUGUAUUAAACAAUGCUACGGCUCGACACCGCCAUUCAAGUGUAGAGAUGGACAUUCAACCAAUGUUCCAAUUAUAAGGUAUAGGAUUGAUGUUGAGGUCUGCGAUGGCAAUGAUUCAGCCAAGUUUGUCUUUCUAUUCAUUUCUUACUUAUAUCUUUCUACUGAACUGUUAUUAUUGUUUGCCUCAUGAUUGAUUCCCUCAUGUUUUGAUCUGUCUGUACCUUAACAACAUUAAAGUGUUUGGCACAAAAUUAAAGUUUGUCUUGUUUUUAUGCAUAUGAAAGGCUAAAGAGUUGGGUAAAGAACCCACAGUGGACGAGGUCUUUCUAAGAACUCAUAUUCGUAAGAAGGACUCAUCUUGGGUUGAUCUUAGAUCUCAAAACACUUAUUUUUCAGAUUAAGUUGAAUCAGGCCUCAGAAGGUGCGGAUGAGAGUGGCUCCCAAUUGGUCAACUCGGCGACUCGUUUAAAGAUGUGGGCCCAAUCAGCUGGGGGGAAAAAUCGAGGACGUCUCUAUGGUGUUGGAGAUAGGUCCUCGAAUUAUAGACCAGGUGUUUCAAGUGUCGCCCCAGACACACUUGAGGAGCGAGCAAAGGCAGCAGAGGAUGAGGUUCGAAAUACAAGGGAGGAACUUAGGCAAGCCGAGCUUAAGCGACAAAAGGAAGUUCAGCAGUCAGAGCAGCGUGCUGCAGAUUUCCCGAGGCAGCUGAUAAUGUUGACAAACAAUGUAGCUGCCAUACAGGUUAUGAUGAGGAUGAUUCCGAGGAUGGAUCCGAGGAUGAUGACAAUGAGGAAAAUUGGUAUUUAGUGUGUGUUGUUACUAUGACUUCAUCUUUAUGCUUAGAUUAUUAAUGGUGCAUUUUGUUAUUAUGACUGAUUAAGCUUAAACUAACGACUAUAUCUUUUGUCCAAACUACUAGUUUCUUAUCUGUUUAUUUUGACACUUGGAAUAGUGUCAAUUUUUGUUAACACUGCAUUUUAGUUUGAGGAAAUGAUCUUUUGAUGACUCAAUUUAAUUAGUUUUGAAUUUAGUUAUUGUUUAGUUUGUUUGGAAUUGGUUCUUAUGUUGGAUGACAUUGGAGUAAGUUAACACUCCUGACAAUAGGCAAAAGUUGGU